rnacentral:lncRNA from 1 species
UUCAGAUUUCAGAAUGUGCAUCCCAUUCUUUAACUCUCAGUGAAAUAAGAUGUUAAUAUGAAUAGUUUCUGGAAAGAUGAGACUUCAGCAUCUUUAAUUGACAUCACUGGUGUACAUACCAGAGGCCUGAAUCUGUGGAAUUUUCAAAUAAAGCUAAAUAUCUGAUUUGAGCUUCAGUUUUCAGGCUACUCUAUAUGCAUUUGAAUUUGGAAAGAGAAGUUUUUCAAAAUUCAGAAUGCCUUAUUGGUAGGUUGUUAGGUCUUAAUUUGUAGUCCAAGAAUCUGAUUUCCUUGAAGUCUUCUUCCUAAAACUAGGUCACAAAGCAGCUCUUCAGAGAGUUGCUGUUAUCUAAAGAGAUCCAUUCUGUCUGGUUUCGUUAAGUUUCAUAUCUAGAGUUAGAGCCUCAUAAUUCACUUAAAACUUUGUUUUACAUGUGGUACAG